AGAGCCUAAAUAAUACAUUUCAGUCAGAUUUAUGAUGUCAACAACAAAUCCCUAAACAAUUUAAAUCGUGAAAGAAUUAGCUGUGGUUAGAGUGUAGAGGCGGCAGGUAGCCUAGUGGUUAGAGUGUAGAGGUGGCAGGUAGCCUAGUGGUUAGAGUGUAGAGGAGGCAGGUAGCCUAGUGGUUAGAGUGUAGAGGUGGCAGGUAGCCUAGUGGUUAGAGUGUAGAGGAGGUAGGUAGCCUAGUGGUUAGAGUGUAGAGGCGGCAGGUAGCCUAGUGGUUAGAGUGUAGAGGAGGCAGGUAGCCUAGUGGUUAGAGUGUAGAGGCGGCAGGUAGCCUAGUGGUUAGAGUGUAGAGGCAGCAGGUAGCCU